rnacentral:rRNA from 1 species
CCUACGGGUGGCAGCAGUGAGGAAUAUUGGUCAAUGGCCGUAAGGCUGAACCAGCCAAGCCGCGUGAAGGAAGAAGGAUCUAUGGUUUGUAAACUUCUUUUGUCAAGGGACAAAAUCAGGCUCGAGAGCCUGAACCAGGGUACUUGAAGAAAAAGCAUCGGGUAACUCCGCGCCAGCCGCCGCGGUCAAACGGAGGAUGCGAGCGUUAUCCGGAUUUAUUGGGUUUAAAGGGUGGGUAGGCGGGCUGUUAAGUAAGCGGUAAAAGCCCGGGGCUCAACCCCGUCGAGCCGUUGAAACUGGCUGUCUUGAGAUGUCGAGAGGUAUGCGGAAUGCGCAGUGUAGCGGUGAAAUGCUUAGAUAUUGCGCAGAACUCCGAUUGCGAAGGCAGCAUACCGGCGGCGAUCUGACGCUGAGGCACGAAAGCGUGGGUAUCGAACAGGAUUAGAUACCCCAGUAGUC